rnacentral:lncRNA from 1 species
AAAGCUCGAUUUGGUGGCACUAUGAUAUCCCAGUGAUGACGAGGAGGUUUAUUAUUAAGUCAUAUUAUUAACUUCAACAUCAUCGAUCAUCAUGCGAGCAUUUUAACAUGAAUGCAACAACUAUCAUGCAACGUACCGAUGCAGUAACAAAAUCAAGCUUUUCAAAUGAACCAGGAUAGCAUGCGAGACAUGGCAAUAACAAGUACUAGUAAUUUCACUAGUGCAACAGAAUUAUCAUAACAUCGAUACUACUAACAUGAAAAUAAACUAGACAGAGGCAUGAUUUUAUCAGUAACAACAGUAAACUAGCAUGUCAGCUUAUUUCAUGAAAGCAUAAGCAUGCAAGACAGAUAACAAAACAUAUAGCAUGACUAAAAUAACAACAGACCGAACAGACAAGAAACUACUACAACUAAACACACACACGAAGUGAAAGCAAAGUCAACAUGAUAAGAGGUUGGCUUGCCAGGGGUCGAGCAAUACUCCGGGAACAAGUGUGAAACGAUUGCGGAAAGAGUUGCCGGAAACAGUUCUCUCUCGGAGGGGGCUAUUUACGGGCAAGGGCAAAAUGGUCAUUUUCACUGUGUGAAAACAUUACGAAAAUGAUACCAACGGAAAGAGCUCGACGAACAGAGAACGUGAGCGUUGGAACCACCUCAAUCGAAGUUACGGUUGUCGAGAUACGAAGGGUUGAAGCUCAGGGACCUAUCGGUGAAAAAAAUUCAGCAAACAGGCCCCUGGAGGAAAAACUGAAUGCGCCUUUGGGCCGAAUACGUUUUCUGCAAAGAGAAACGUAUUUUGUGCCGAAGUGCAAAGCGAAUAUGCUUUCAGAACUAAGAAAGCGUAUUUCAGGUAAAAGAGGAAGCAAAUACGCUUUCGUAUAUCGAAAACGCAUAUCCAGAAUACGCUUACACUUACACACGCGGGCCCGGGGUGUGGUCAACGCCGAGACGCUGACAGGUGGGGUCACACGGGGAGGGGCCCGCCUGGCCUGGCGUCUUCAACCUCCCGCUCGUGCGCGCGCCUGGCAGAGGGAGGGGCUCGCCUCGACGGCGAUUGCCGGCGACUCCGGCCACCGCAAACGACGGCCGACCUACCCACGAGUUCAGGAGCGAGAGGCGCAUCUCGGGGUGGUCUCCGUUGCCAUCGAGGAGG